AAUGUCCUGGAGAGAGGAAUAAAAACAUAAAUGUAAGCAGAGAAAAAAAAAAGCAUAAAACUCGGUAAUCUUUGCCUUGGGAACACGGAGACAGCUUUAGAGUAUUUGGUGAUGCUUUUUGCACAAACCGAUGAACUCACCAAGUUCCUCUCCACCUCUGCUGGAUGAAAAGCCACAUCUGAUUCAUGAAUAUCAGAAUAAUGCGACAUCUCUUCUUGGGGAGAAUAGGAACGUGUGUCAGGCAUGUGAUCUAAACGGAAAUGAGUAUCAGCUCUGCUCCGGAGUCAUCGCUGCUUUCUUUUCUAAAUCACCUUCCUCCGACGCGGCUCACGGCAGGAAGCAUCUGAUCCUUAAAGACGUUCAGCCAGAAAA